rnacentral:tRNA from 1 species
AAAGGGAGACCUAAUUCAGGUAUGGGACGAAAAAAAAGUAGUCCCUACCAAGAAUCAAUCCCAAAAGGUCGGAGCGAGGCGAAAUUGGCUUUCAAACUAGGUUCUGGGUUCACACAAGACCUGAAUCAGGAACAAGGGCUAUUAGCUCAGGUGGUUAGAGCGCACCCCUGAUAAGGGUGAGGUCCCUGGUUCGAGUCCAGGAUGGCCCACCUGUACAGGUGGCAAAAACAAAGAAAAGAAGCUCCGAAUCAGCACCUUAUCUUAUUUAUAUAGUAAGAGAGAAUGCUGGCUCUGAGUACAGAGUCCAGAGGAACCUUGAAAACUGCAUAGAGCUAGGUGAAAAAGCCAAAAAAGAAGACCGCAAG